GAUGAAGAACGUAGCGAAAUGCGAUAAGUAAUGUGAAUUGCAGAAUUCAGUGAAUCAUCGAAUCUUUGAACGCAUCUUGCGCUCCUUGGUAUUCUGAGGAGCAUGCCUGUUUGAGUGUCAUUAAAUUCUCAACUACACUGACUUUGAAUUGGUGUGGCUUGGAUUUGGGGGUAAAUUGUUGUGGGCUUUUUGUAUAGUCUGCUCCCCUGAAAUUGAUUAGCGGUACCUUUGUGGAACUGUCUACAGGUGUGAUAAUUAUCUACAUCUUAGACAUCUGCUGGAAUGCUGCUUUCUAAACCUUACUUGUAUUGACAAUCUUGACCUCAAAUCAGGUAGGACUACCCGCUGAACUUAAGCAUAUCAAUAAGCGGAGGA
rnacentral:misc_RNA from 1 species